CGAAUUCGGAGCGUAAGUUCUAAAUGUAGGAGUAUGUAAUUAUGUAUAUAUAAGCAAGUAUAUUUUAAUUUGUAUUUUAAUCACUAAGUCUAGCCCUAGCUUAACCACUCAAUCUAACCUGCUUCACUUUCACAAUAGCACUCUCACCCUUGCGCUUACGUUGUCUAUUGUAUCUAUUGUCUUGCCCCAGCCCCAGGCUCCUAGUUUCAAUAGCAGGGUGUUUUGUGGGUCAGCUAUCAUUUUCCCUUCAGUCUGUCUGGUCACUGGUCACAGCUAGCAACAGCUUAUAACAGGUGUGGCAAACAUAGUUCCUGACGUUUGUGACGGUAACGGGCACAGUGCCAUACACUCGGGCCUUCUUCAGUUAUUGCCAAUAAACUGACAUCUACGAAAAAUAUUCGCCUUUGUGGUAUCUACAAAACCACUCCGGUUACAUUGGCGUCGUCGGCAGGAUGUAGAUGUUCAGAAGUAACAGUGAUGCAACCAGUGACAAGGGACAAUGAUGGACAUCAACUUUCCAUAGAUGGAAGGGAACCGUAAUGACCAAGUAAUGUAACACUACGGUACACAACCAGACACUUUGUUACACAUGAGUUUCGGCCUUGAGCUUACUACUUGGCUUGUAGAUAUUUGAGACUCUUGUAUUGUGCAAGUGAUAUUGAC